rnacentral:rRNA from 1 species
CUCUUUCUUGAUUCGGUGGGUGGUGGUGCAUGGCCGUUCUUAGUUGGUGGAGCGAUUUGUCUGGUUAAUUCCGAUAACGAACGAGACUCUAGCCUGCUAAAUAGGUGACGGGUUUUAUCAAUUGAAACCGAAGGGAGUACGGAGGCGUCGGGAUCAGGUGGCGAGUGGUUUUCUGGAGAUCGGGGUCGGACUUGGUUUAGUUGCGAGUGCGCGGUUGUUCGGGCGAGCUCUGUUGGCGCAAGUUGACGGAGUUUGUUCGCGCGGCUGUGUGUUCGUAGCGGCUAGUUCGGCCUUUAUUUUCGGGCCUUCGUCAUCCCUGGCGAUUCUCCUGCUCUCGCGUCCGUCACAAGUCUUCUUAGAGGGACAAGCGGCGUCCAGCCGCGUGACAGUGAGCAAUAACAGGUCUGUGAUGCCCUUAGAUGUCCUGGGCCGCACGCGCGCUACACUGAAGGAAUCAGCGUGUUUCACUCUCCCUGUCCGAAAGGACCGGGUA